UGGGCGCCAUGCUGCUCUGUAGCUCUGGCUGUAGGAGCCAUUUGAAAGUCUGAGGUGGGCAUGAGGCUCCAGCAUUGCUGCAAUGCAGACGUGGACGUGGCUGGGAGUUUCAGCGUUAAUCGCCUGCACACAUCUCAUUUGGGAGUCACCUUUGGGCUAUGUAUUCCCUGAGGUUUGGUCAACUUUGUCACCUUUUGAAAAAAAGAAGUCUGUGGGCCUGCGUUUAAUGUAGAGCUUGAUAAGAAAAUUCUUCAAAGAGUCCAUUUGAAUGAGGCCUGAGUGUGGCUGUUUGGUAAUGUCUGCCCAUGGCUGGGCAGGCUCUGCAUUCCUUCUGGGGGGCAAAGCUUUUGACAGGAAAAAUAAAUGUGAAGCAAAGUCUCUUCUUCACGUUGAAGGACCAACGCCAAAAGGAAUGGAGCAUUUUCACAAAAGUAAACAGAAGUCGAUGGAG
rnacentral:lncRNA from 1 species